UCGGGGCAGGCGGGUCCCGCGGCCCGGGAAGGGACCUCUGCCGGCGGCCGGCGGCAGUGCGCGGCGUGCGGAGCCCCGGGAGGGAGGCCGGGCGGCGGCCGGGGCUUCUCCUGCAGCCCGGCCCUGGCUGGACGCCGAGGUCGCAGUGCGAUCUCCAGUGUCGCGCGGACGUGUGCGCUGACAGGGGACCCCAGAGUCGCCCUGCUGGCUCUCGGCGACGUCUUCAGCCAGCCUCGCCCUCCCCCCAUGCCCAGCACGCGCGGCCAGCCUUGGUCCUGGAAGAGAUGCCGAAGCCUUUGGGAUUUCGCUUACCGACCUCCGCCUCCGGGAGGGCCCCCUCCAGGGGGACUGGGAAAACCUUUGCACUCAGCUACACCCCGCCUCUCCCCUCUGAGACAGUCUUGCUAAAUCCUUAAAUCGCCGGCUGGUCUCCAGGCUGCGAUCCUCCUGCCUCGGUCUCCCAGAGAAACACAUUGCGCUGGCCAGAAGGAAGAACUCGGGGGGGCCGCAGAGGUAAACUGGCUUCUCGGAGUUGCUGUUUUGGAGCUGGGCCCUUCAGGAGCGGGAGAAUGGGGGUUUUGGAAGAUGAGGGUCAUGGGCGUGGCAUCUCACCUGGGAAACCUGGUGGUGGAGGUUUAAGGUGAGGUAGGGCUGGACGGGGUAGGUGGGACUGUGCCAGUGGCCUCGGGGAGCCUCGGGAUUCCUCUGCACCCAGGAAGUGUGUGGUCGGGAACCAACUAGAGUUCCCUGAGCAGGCAGCCCCACCUGGGAACUUGUGUCUUUUCCUCUCUUUUAUCUAUUUCAAUCCCUAAAAGCCACCCCUCUCUCUUUUUCUUUCUUUCUCUGUCUCUGUCUCUCUCUCUCUCUCUCCCCUCUCCAUAGUAGAACUGGGUUGAAUAUAGCACUUUCACACCAGGUUAUAUCCCCAGCCCUUUUUCUUUUUAGACAGGAGUCUUGACAAAUGGCUACAUUGCUCUGGCUGGGUUUUGAACUCUCAAUCCUCCUGUCCCAGCCUCCCAGAAUGUUGGGAUCACAGGUGUGGGCCAACACCCUGGGCUUCUUUCCUGAGUCCAUAAACAGCCCUCCUGGGAAUGCUGACAUCCUCUAAGGGUUUGAUGAGCCCCAGAUGAGGGAGUGGAAUCUGGUGGCCGGCUGGGUGGCAUUCCAGGAGCAAGCUGGACUGUGCAGGUAAGUUCAGGGCAGUAAGGGCCUACAGUAGACAGGUAUGGGAUGUGGAGACAGUACAUCAGUUGGGAGGGGGAGAGUGCUAACUAAAUGCUCUUUUGAACAUGCUGAGUGUCAGGAUGCCAUUUAUGAUUAAAGAUCUUUUUUUUUUUUUUUUUUUUUUGUCUUUUUCAUUUUUAUCGGUACCGGGGAUUGAACUCAUGACCGCCUGCUUGCAAGGCAGGUGCUUAUGCCGCUGAGCUAAAUCCCCAGCCCAUGAUUAAAGAUCUUAAAUGGUUUUAUUUUCAUCCUACACACGAGUUUCAUGUGAUAACAGGUGGCACAUAUGUGGAGAACUUCCUCGAGACCACUAAAAGUCAGAGCUGGAGGGAGACCAUCUGGGUGGGCAGGGAGUUGCCAAGUAAGGAGAGGCCAGUUCCCCGAGGAAGUCAGUGCAGGAGACAAAAUUGGGGAGGGGUAGACGUUCGGAAACACACCAGGAGAACUGAUUAGGGAGGAAGAAAGGAAACCUGGGGGGGGAGGCACUGAUACAGAGGAGAAAGGCCUUCCAGAAAGAACCAGUGGAAGAGAACUGGCCUUGGGCACUGUUUAUCAGCCCGGCCUUGAGCAGUGUUUGCCAGCCAGUUAUGAACCAACCAAUAGGGCAAUGAAACCAGCAUUUAAAAGGACAACAGGGAGUGUGAGGGGAGAAUCAAGUUUUAUAUUAUGUACAGGCACAAGUGCUCUGUGUUGAAUGUGAUCAUUGUGUAUAUCUAAAAUACACCAGUAAAAUGAUUGAAGAAAAAUAAAUACAUAAAUGGAUAAUAGAAACUGUCAGACUGUAUCUUACAUGGCAUUUUAGUUACUUUUCCCUUGUUGCAGGGACAACGUACCCAACACUUAAAGUUAGAAAGGGAAAGGUUUAUUUAGCUCAUAGCUUGCAGAGGUUUCAAUCAUAAUCAGCUGACUCCAAGGCAGAGUAUACAGCAGAGAUGCAACCAUAGUUGAGGGCAGGAGAAGACAGCAAAAACAAGGAGAGAGGAAGAGAGAGAGACAGAGAGAGAGACAGAGAGACACAGACAGAGACAGAGACAGAAACAGAGAGAGACACAGAGAGACAGAGACAGAGCUCUUUUUCUGCCUUAUAUUGCAUGUAAAUCACCCUAGGGUGGGUGUAGCACUCACUUAGAUGUGUAGUAUGAGUUUGUGUUCUUGAAAACAAUGAAUUUUAGGACCAAUGGAGGUUAAGAGCUGAAUGUAUUUACUGAGAGAAAGAAAGCUUCUGUCUGAGAGAGAUAGAAGGGCACCCUUGUGAGUUACCAGGGACUCUUUCUUUUCUAGGGACUUUUUUUUUUAGGUUUUGUAAUUUUUUUUAUUUUAAAGAGAGUAAAACCAAGCAAAAUGAAACAAUAAAGCUAAUCAAAGCAAAAUGGUGUGAUACAGGACUUCAAAACAAGAUAAUAGGAAAUCAACAAUGAUUAUAAUAAUGCCUCUUGUUGUCUUUAAAAUAGCUGGAGAUAUCUUUAAACACAGUAAAAAUCAAACAAAACACAGAAUAGAACUAAUAAAAACAAAUCAAGGAACACAAUAAAGGACUUCAAAACAAGAUGAUAGUAACUCCAAAAUGGCUACCAUAAUAUAGCUUGCUAUCUUUGAAACAGCUGCCCAUGCCAUCAGAUACAACGAAAUCAAACAAGACAAAUCAGAGUAAAACACAACCCAACAAAACAAUGAGAGUGAUACAGGACUUCAAAGCAAGGUAGUAGGGGACUAACAAUGGCCACCACCUUCAGAAGGAGAUCCCCCAUAGAUGCUAUACUGCGUAUUGUUAUCCUCUGGACAGAUGAUCAGACUACUGGUUUUAGACCUGCAAAAGUCAGUGAAACCCUAAACACUACAAGCAUUAAGUUAUAUUUUAUCUCAAUAGCUAUUAUCACAGCCUGUGUUUCUCUGGAUCAGCCAGUCACUUACGGAGUGAGAUGGGGAAGGACCUUGGCUUUUCUUGUCUUCCAACUCGUGUGCCAGAGGGGGCUGCUGUCUGGUUCUCCCCGCAGCAGUCUGCACAUGGCACAAACUCACAGGGAGGGCUUGACUUCUUGUUUUCCUCCCCUGCAGCCCCCAAAUGGCUCUGACUCAUGGGAAAAAGUUGACAUCUGGUUCUCAAGGACAGGUUCUUUCUGACUCCAAACUCACACCAGACAUGUUUGAUCCUUAGCAUGGAGGUGGGUGGUAUCUCAGGAGACAGACUGUCUUCUGUUUAUUUCAAGGUCCCUUUUUAUAGCUUGUAUCUAGAUGUCCCUCCAAAGCCUCAAGUGCUUGCCUUUUCUAGGGACUUUUAUAAAGCAGAACCACGAAGUGAGGCAAGCCCAAGGUGGGGAAAAUGUGGGAACUCACAAGGUGGGCAUGAGAUGGGAUGGAACUGUGGUCACCUGGUAAGAUUAAUUGUCCAGGUAAAAUUGAUUAAACUGGGUACAAAUGGGGAAGUGAGCCCCUUAGCAAGCAAGCAUGAAUACAGAACAACAACGCUUCCUGUAGGGGGCUGGGUGGUGACUCCUGGCUUCCUCAGGGUGAUAGAGACCUAUUUAGACUAUCAAUUCCUUUUCCUUUUUUUUUUUUUGUCUUUUUCCUGAAGUUUAUCCUAGGAAGUAUGUGGGUGCAUUUAUUUACCUUUUGUCUUGAGGCCUUGUCCACAGUGGAGGUGUCUGUCUCUCUCACAGUUGCAAGGUAUCUCAUCCUCUGCACUGGCUCCUUUGUGGGCUAGCCCUGUCUGACUGCCUAUAUUUCCAUCUACUUCAGCUGCCUAUAACACCAGCAUUAGACCACAAGCCAGUCACAAACUAGAUUCAACCACCUCUGAAAAGCCAGCCCCCAUGAUCACAUGAGGCUUUAGGGGGACAUCCAGACACAAACCAUAACACGUGCAAAGAUGGAAUCCUGAAACUGUUUGGAGAGAGCAGAUACUAUCCUACAGGCCUCUUGCCAAAAUAUGUAUAUGUAACCUCAGUUCAGUCAUGAGACCACAUCAUACAAACUGAAAGGGAGGAACAAAGUAGCCUUUGAGGGGGUUAAGUGAGUCAAAAGAUGGAGGCUCAGUCACAGGAGGCAGGAGACAGGAUAGCUAAACACAUUAUGGAAUUGAGGGUAGGAUCCUGGGCCUGAAAAUUCGUGUGUUUAGUUUGGUUGAUUCCACCUGCCCUUGUUAAUGUCUUAGUUAUAACAAUCCUACUGUGAUGGCAGAAGAUGCUAUCAUGGGGGAAAGCUGGAUGAGGUACGUGUGGAAAUUCCCUUGUUAUCGUCACCACUUUUCUGUAAGUCUAAAAUUAGUUGUAAAUAAAAA